UGGGGAAUAUUGCACAAUGGAGGGAACUCUGAUGCAGCGACGCCGCGUGAACGAAGAAGGCUUUCGAGUCGUAAAGUUCUUUUAUAUGGGAAGAUAAUGACGGUACCAUAAGAAGAAGCCCCGGCUAACUACGUGCCAGCAGCCGCGGUAAUACGUAGGAGGCUAGCGUUGUCCGGAAUCACUGGGCGUAAAGGGUUCGCAGGCGGAAAUGCAAGUCAGGUGUAAAAGGCAGUAGCUUAACUACUGUAAGCAUUUGAAACUGCAUAUCUUGAGAAGAGUAGAGGUAAGUGGAAUUUUUAGUGUAGCGGUGAAAUGCGUAGAUAUUAAAAAGAAUACCGGUGGCGAAGGCGACUUACUGGGCUCAUUCUGACGCUGAGGAACGAAAGCGUGGGUAGCAAACAGG
rnacentral:rRNA from 1 species